rnacentral:rRNA from 1 species
UGUGAGAGCAAGAGCCCGGAGAUGGAUUCUGAGACACGAAUCCAGGCCCUACGGGGUGCAGCAGGCGCGAAAACUUUACAAUGCUGGCAACAGCGAUAAGGGAACCUCGAGUGCCAGGUUACAAAUCUGGCUGUCGAGAUGCCUAAAAAGCAUUUCAUAGCAGGGGCCGGGCAAGACCGGUGCCAGCCGCCGCGGUAACACCGGCGGCUCGAGUGGUAACCGUUAUUAUUGGGUCUAAAGGGUCUGUAGCCGGCCGGAUAAGUCUCUUGAGAAAUCUGGCAGCUUAACUGUCAGGCUUUCAGGAGAUACUGUCUGGCUCGAGGCCGGGAGAGGUGAGAGGUACUUCAGGGGUAGGGGUGAAAUCUUGUAAUCCUUGAAGGACCACCAGUGGCGAAGGCGUCUCACCAGAACGGACCUGACGGCAAGGGACGAAAGCUAGGGGCACGAACCGGAUUAGAUACCCGGGUAGUCCUAGCCGUAAACGAUACUCGCUAGGUGUCGGCCACGGUGCGACCGUUGUCGGUGCCGUAGGGAAGCCGUGAAGCGAGC